AUUGAACGCUGGCGGCAGGCCUAACACAUGCAAGUCGAACGGUAACAGGAAGCAGCUUGCUGCUUCGCUGACGAGUGGCGGACGGGUGAGUAAUGUCUGGGAAACUGCCUGAUGGAGGGGGAUAACUACUGGAAACGGUAGCUAAUACCGCAUAACGUCGCAAGACCAAAGAGGGGGACCUUAGGGCCUCUUGCCAUCGGAUGUGCCCAGAUGGGAUUAGCUAGUAGGUGGGGUAACGGCUCACCUAGGCGACGAUCCCUAGCUGGUCUGAGAGGAUGACCAGCCACACUGGAACUGAGACACGGUCCAGACUCCUACGGGAGGCAGCAGUGGGGAAUAUUGCACAAUGGGCGCAAGCCUGAUGCAGCCAUGCCGCGUGUAUGGAGAAGGCCUUCGGGUUGUAAAGUACUUUCAGCGGGGAGGAAGGGAGUAAAGUUAAUACCUUUGCUCAUUGACGUUACCCGCAGAAGAAGCGCCGGCUAACUCCGUG
rnacentral:rRNA from 1 species